ACUCUAAUGAGACUGCCGGUGACAAACCGGAGGAAGGUGGGGAUGACGUCAAGUCCUCAUGGCCCUUAUGGGUAGGGCUUCACACGUCAUACAAUGGUACAUACAGAGCGCCGCCAACCCGCGAGGGGGAGCUAAUCGCAGAAAGUGUAUCGUAGUCCGGAUUGUAGUCUGCAACUCGACUGCAUGAAGUUGGAAUCGCUAGUAAUCGCGGAUCAGCAUGUCGCGGUGAAUACGUUCCCGGGUCUUGUACACACCGCCCGUCACACCAUGGGAGCG
rnacentral:rRNA from 1 species